rnacentral:lncRNA from 1 species
UGCUGCUGUCCCUCUGCUUAAGAUCCAUUUUGCCAAACAGUGGAAGUCAAUGGAUGUGCUUAACUCCUUCAGUAUUGUAAAUCAUAUUGUCAAUGUGUUUCUUCUUUCUUCUGGUUUUGGUCGUAACCAGCAAUCCUCCACGCACGCGUGCGCGCACACACUCAUGCUUUUUCUUAGAAAUGGCUUGCAUCCACCUCUUACCGGAGUUCAUUUAAUGACAACUAUAUAUGUCAAUCAGAAGGACGACUAUAUAUGCAAAAAUAGAUUGCUUAUUAUCGUACGCUAGGCUUUGUAUAUGCAGUUCUUUUCUUUUUGGUAGUAUAACUUGUGUAUCUCGAACAAAUAACUUUUAAUUGGAACAAGACUAUGGCCUUAGCAGCAGGGGCGGAUCUAUUAAGGCCCGUGGGGGUGGCACGCCACCCGCAAACUUCGACGGAAACUCUCUCUAUAUAGUUGUAUAUAUAUAGAGAUAUAGUUAAAUAUUAAACAUGGCACCCAAAAUUAUAGAUUGUUGUCUAGUGCAGUUGGCAAAGUGCUGCACUUGCAGACGUAAGGUCGUGUGUUCGAACUUGGCCAACAACACAUUUGUUUUUUAAAAAUCAUUUUGCUGAACCAACAGGUGUAAUAAUUCUCAAUUAAACAGGGCACAUCCGCACAAAGCCAC